rnacentral:ncRNA from 2 species
GACGGACCAGCGGGAGAGUUCGCGCUUCGCGGCGCGACGCCGAAGGAGCAACCGCCCCGGAAUCUCUCAGGCCCACGGACCGCUGGACCGGC